rnacentral:rRNA from 1 species
AACGCUGCGGCGCGCUUAAUGCAUGCAAGUCGAACGUGCUUCCGGGCAAGUGGCAGACGGCUGAGUAACGCGUGAGUAACGCACCCUCCGGUGGGGUAUAGCCUCGGGAAACUGAGAGUAAUCCCGCAUACGAUCCGGUGGCCCCGGUUGCCGGAUGAAAGCCUUUGGCGCCGGAGGAGCGGCUCGCGUCCUAUCAGGUAGUUGGUGGGGUAAAAGCCUACCAAGCCUAUGACGGGUAGCUGGUCUUAGAGGACGAUCAGCCAGAGGGGGACUGAGACACGGCCCCCACUCCUACGGGAGGCAGCAGCAGGGAAUUUUGGGCAAUGGGCGAAAGCCUGACCCAGCGACGUCGCGUGGGGGAUGAAGGCCCUCGGGCUGUAAACCCCUUUUCCCGGGGAAGAGAAAGGACGGUACCCGGGGAGUAAGCUCCGGCUAACUACGUGCCAGCAGCCGCGGUAAUACGUAGGGAGCGAGCGUUACCCGGAAUUACUGGGCGUAAAGAGCGCGUAGGCGGCUUGGUAA